rnacentral:rRNA from 1 species
AGUGAACGCUGGCGGUAGGCCUAACACAUGCAAGUCGAACGGCAGCACAGUAAUAGCGUGCUCUUACGGGUUGCGAGUGGCGGACGGGUGAGGAAUGCAUCGUGAUCUAGUUUUUCGGGGAGGAUAACGUAGGUAGACUUACUCUAAUACCGCAUAUGACGUUCGGUGGAAAGGAGGGGAACGUCUGACCGGGCGCGAUUGAAUUAGCCGAUGUGGUUUUAGAUAGUUGGCGGGCUAAAGGCCCACGAAGUCGACGAUCCGUAGCUCGUCUGAGAGGCUGAUAAGCGACACUGGAACUGAGACACGCUCCAUGCUCCUACGGGAGGCACCAGUCGCGAAUAUUGGACAGUGGGCGCAAGCAUGAUCCAGCCAUCCCGCGUGGGUGACGAAGGCCUUCCGGUUGUAAAGACCUUUUGUUGGGAGAGAAACGCAGCAGGUUGAUACCACGCUGUUCUGACGGUACCCAAAGAAUAAGCACCGGCUAACUUCGUG